AAAAAACCUGCCUUGCAUAUAUACUCUGGAAUCCCUGCACUUUGGGAUUUUUAUAAAUGGCUUUCAUGAGGACAUGGAAGGGUGGAUUAGUACGUGUGCAGAUGACAUGAAGACAGUAUGGCCUUCACAGAGCCCUGAUCUCAACAUCAUCAAUACUGUCUGGGAUUACCGGGAGAGAUAGAAGCAAGUGAGACACCCAAAGUCUGCUGAAGAACUGUGGCAAGUUCUCCAAGGUGCUUGGAACAACAUACCAGCUGAUUUUCUUACAAAACUGCAUGAGAGUGUACCUAAGAGAACUGAUGCAGCUUUAAAGAUAACACAGAUUUAAUGCAAACCAGGGCCCCUCUCUGCCUUCUCAGCUGAAUGGAAAUCAUCCUGGGACAUUAUUUCAGAGAGCAAAAGCGUUCCCCUUCCACCCCCUUCGGUGUCAUAGCGAAGACUGACCCCUCAGUCCCUGCAACAAGCUACCUUGUCUGCAACACGAGUGAAUCUGCAGAUGCAGGAAAUAAAUAAAAACACAAAAUGCUGGCAGAACUCAGCGGGCCAGACAGCAUCUAUGGGAGGAGGUAGUGACGACGGUUCAGGCCGGAACCCUUCAUCAGGAGUGAAGUAACAUGGGAUGGUCAAGGGGGGAUAAGAAGUGGGGAUUUGCUGAUGAUGUUUUGAUUUAUUUAACAAACCCAUUGCAAUCGUUGCAAAGAUUAUCUUUUAGAAUGGAAGAAUAUGGGAAAGUAUCAGGCUAUAAAGUAAAUUGGGAUGAAAGUGAAAUUUUAUCCCUUACCAAAGGAAAUUAUAAUCAAUGUCAAUUAGCAACUCAAUUUCGAUGGUCAAUAAACGGGAUAAAAUAUUUAGGUAUUAGAGUUGAUAAUGAUGUAAAAAAUUUAUAUAAACAAAAUUAUUUGCCAUUAUUAAAAAGAAAUAAAAGAGGAUCUUGAUAAAUGGAUAAUGUUACCAAUAACAUUAAUAGGUAGAGUUAACACUGUAAAAUGAAUAUAUUUCCUAGAUUGCAAUAUUUAUUUCAAAAUUUACCAAUACAAUUACCUCAGAAGUUUUUUCAAGAACUGAAUAAAUAUGUAAGGAAAUUUCUUUGGAAAGGUAAGAUGUCAAGAAUAUCAUUGGAAAAAUUGACAUGUAAAUUUGAUCUAGGAGGGUUACAACUUCCAAAUUUUAAGAAUUAUUAUAAAGCAAAUCAACUUAGAUUUAUUGCAUCUUUUUUUGAUGAAGAAAAAUCGGCAUGGAUUAAAAUAGAAUUGGAUAAGAUAGGAGAAAAUAUACCAGAAGAUUUUAUAUAUAAAUGGGAAUCCAAAUGGAUACGGGAAAAAAAAGAAUCUCCUAUAUUAAGACACUUGAUUGAUUUAUGGAAUAAGGUAAAUAUAGAUGAUGAGAUAAAGAAAUCUUUAUUAGCAAAAAGAACUUUAAUUCAAAAUAGGCUUAUUCCUUUUACAAUGGAUAAUAAACUUUUACAUAAUUGGUUCCAAAAGGGGAUUAAAUAUAUAGCUGAUUGUUUCGAAGGAGGUAUAUUGAUGUCGUUUGAUCAAUUAAAAAAUAAAUAUAAAAUAUCAAAUAACACUCUUUUCUGUUAUUUUCAAUUAAAAGCCUAUUUACGAGAAAAGCUGGGACAAACAAUGUUGAUGCCAAAACCUAGUGAAGUAGAAAUAUUGAUUCAGAAAGGAAGAAUUAAAAAAUUUACAUCUUGUAUGUAUAAUUUGAUUCAAAAGCAAAUAAUUCAAUUAGGAAUUCAUAAAUCAAGACAAAAAUGGGAAUCUGAUUUGAAUGU